GUUGGCCGCACUCCGCACUGUUCUCGGGACAGGGGGCGAAACAAAUGUUCCACCGCGGUUAUAUUCGGAAAAUGCGUCCUAGGUGAGAAACUUUCAAGUAGCCUUCAAUUUGCACCUGUUACGUGAUCUAGUGACUUCGCAGGAAAAUGCACAGGAAUCGAGAAACGAAUGAGCAGAUUUGAUAAACUAGUUUGCUGUCACGUUGGUGAGGGCCCGGGAGAGGCGUGAAAGGAGCGGGAGC